UACGGGGGGGGGCAAGCGUUGUUCGGAAUUACUGGGCGUAAAGGGCUCGUAGGCGGCCAACUAAGUCAGACGUGAAAUCCCUCGGCUUAACCGGGGAACUGCGUCUGAUACUGGAUGGCUUGAGGUUGGGAGAGGGAUGCGGAAUUCCAGGUGUAGCGGUGAAAUGCGUAGAUAUCUGGAGGAACACCGGUGGCGAAGGCGGCAUCCUGGACCAAUUCUGACGCUGAGGAGCGAAAGCCAGGGGAGCGAACGGGG
rnacentral:rRNA from 1 species